AGGGAAAAGCUCAAAUUUAAAAUCUGGCAGUCUUUGAUUGUCCGAGUUGUAAUUUAGAGAAGUGUUACCCGAGUUGGACCGUGUACAAGUUUCCUGGAAUGGAACGUCAUAGAGGGUGAGAAUCCCGUCUUUGACACGGAUCCCAGUUCAUUGUGGUAUACUUUCAAA
rnacentral:rRNA from 1 species